rnacentral:rRNA from 1 species
UACGGGAGGCAGCAGGGGGAAUAUUGCACAAUGGGCGCAAGCCUGAUGCAGCCAUGCCGCGCGUAUGAAGAAGGCCUUCGGGUUGUAAAGUACUUUCAGUCGUGAGGAAGGUGUUAAGGUUAAUAACCUUAGCAAUUGACGUUAGCGACAGAAGAAGCACCGGCUAACUCCGUGCCAGCAGCCGCGGUAAUACGGAGGGUGCGAGCGUUAAUCGGAAUUACUGGGCGUAAAGGGCACGCAGGCGGUUAAUUAAGUUGGAUGUGAAAUCCCCGGGCUUAACCUGGGAAUGGCAUUCAAGCUGGUUAGCUAGAGUCUUGUAGAGGGGGUAGAAUUCCAUGUGUAGCGGUGAAAUGCGUAGAGAUGUGGAGGAAUACCGGUGGCGAAGGCGGCCCCUGGACAAAGACUGACGCUCAUGUGCGAAAGCGUGGGGAGCGAAACAGGGAUUAGAUACC